CCUACGGGUGGCAGCAGUGGGGAAUAUUGGUCAAUGGGCGCAAGCCUGACCCAGCAACGCCGCGUGAAGGAAGACUGCUUUCUGGUUUUAAACUUCUUUUUAUAUGGAAGAAUAGAAGUCGGUACCUGUCGAAUAAGCCACGGCUAACUACGUGCCAGCAGCCACGGGAAUACGGAGGGCGCAAGCGUUGUCCGGAUUUACUGGGUGUAAAGGGCGUGUAGCCGGGUUGACAAGUCAGAUGUGAAAGCCUGCGGCUUAACCGGAGAACUGCAUUUGAAACUGUUGAUCUUGAGUACUGGAGAGGUAGGCGGAAGUCGUGGUGUAGCGGUGAAAUGCGUAGAUAUCAGGAGGAACACCAGUGGCGAAGGCGG
rnacentral:rRNA from 1 species